rnacentral:miRNA from 1 species
ACUUAUCAGCUCACAUCACAGA